rnacentral:rRNA from 1 species
UACGUAGGGCGCAAGCGUUGUCCGGAAUUAUUGGGCGUAAAGAGCUCGUAGGCGGUCUGUUACGUCCGCUGUGAAAACCCGGGGCUUAACCCCGGGCUUGCAGUGGAUACGGGUAGACUAGAGGCAGGUAGGGGAGAAUGGAAUUCCCGGUGUAGCGGUGAAAUGCGCAGAUAUCGGGAGGAACACCGGUGGCGAAGGCGGUUCUCUGGGCCAUUACUGACGCUGAGGAGCGAAAGCGUGGGGAGCGAACAGG